GGGGAUUUAGCUCAGCGGUAGAGCACUUGCCUAGCAAGCACAAGGCCCUGGGUUCAGUCCCCAGCUCCG
rfam:Rattus norvegicus chromosome 7, whole genome shotgun sequence.